GCCCCCGAAGGCUGCCAGGCUGGUUGUUUUCUCCACCGCUGAUUGAAUUUAGAUCCUGUUUGGUAGGAGAGCAGCAGUCUGUUCAAUCUCUGAGAUCCUGAUUCAACUCUAGCAACACACUGGGCUUUCCUGAGGCCUCCUGGUGGAGCAAAGACUCAUCUGAAGAAGGAAACAAGGUGUCAAGACUCCUCACUGAGAGUCAGCUCUUCCACCGUCUGCUCUCUGCUUCCCCUGUGGUGAACAUAUUUGCUGGACCAGAAAUCGAGACACAUGGUCUGGCCAUGAAAAAAUGAAAUUGAGACUGUUCCAGAAAAUCUA
rnacentral:lncRNA from 1 species